rnacentral:rRNA from 1 species
UGCUUAAUACAUGCAAGCCGAGCGGGUAGCAAUACCAGCGGCGCACGGGUGAGUAACACGUAAACAAUCUGCCUUUAAGUUUGGAAUAACCGUCCUAAAGGAUGGCUAAUACCGGAUGUGGUGAAGAAACGGCAUCGUUUUUUCAUUAAAGAUUUAUCGCUUAAAGAUGAGUUUGCGGAACAUUAGUUAGAUGGUGAGGUAGAGGCUUACCAUGGCGAUGAUGUUUAGCCGGCCUGAGAGGGUGAUCGGCCACAAUGGGACUGAGACACGGCCCAUACUCCUACGGGAGGCAGCAGUAAGGAAUAUUGCGCAAUGGAUGAAAGUCUGACGCAGCAACUCCGCGUGAUGGACGAAGGUUUUCGGAUUGUAAACAUCUUUUGUAAGAGAAGAAAAAAUUAAAAUUGACGGUAUCUUACGAAUAAGCUCCGGCUAAAUAUGUGCCAGCAGCCGCGGUAAUACAUAUGGAGCGAGCGUUACUCGGAAUCACUGGGCGUAAAGGGUGCGUAGGCUGUUUAAUAAGUCGUUGUUUUAACUUACGGGCUUAACCUGUUAUGUGAUAGCGAUACUGUUAGACUUGAGUAUUUGAGGGGUAAAUGGAAUUUUCGGUGUAGCGGUGGAAUGCGUAGAUAUCGAAAAGAACACCAAUGGCGAAGGCAGUUUACUGGCAAAAUACUGACGCUGAAGCACGAGAGCGUGGGGAGCAAACAGGAUUAGAUACCCUGGUAGUCCACGCUGUAAACGAUGGACAUUAGUCGUCGGUUCGCAAGAAUCGGUGGCGUAGAUAACUUGAUAAAUGUCCCGCCUGGGUAGUACGACCGCAAGGUUGAAACCCAAAGAAAUUGACGGGGACCCGCACAAGCGGUGGAGCAUGUGCUUUAAUUCGAUGCAACGCGAAGAACCUUACCUGGUCUUGACAUAGUUAUGCCUGGUUUAGAGAUAGACCUUUCAGCAAUGACAUAACAUACAGAUGCUGCAUGGUUGUCGUCAGCUCGUGUCGUGAGAUGUUGGGUUAAGUCCCGCAACGAGCGCAACCCUUGCCGUUAGUUACCAUCAUUCAGUUGGGGACUCUAAUGGGACUGCCUUCGCAAGGAGGAGGAAGGUGGGGAUGACGUCAAAUCAUCAUGGCUCUUGCGACCAGGGCUA